rnacentral:rRNA from 1 species
UACGUAGGUGGCAAGCGUUAUCCGGAUUUAUUGGGCGUAAAGGGAACGCAGGCGGUCUUUUAAGUCUGAUGUGAAAGCCUUCGGCUUAACCGGAGUAGUGCAUUGGAAACUGGGAGACUUGAGUGCAGAAGAGGAGAGUGGAACUCCAUGUGUAGCGGUGAAAUGCGUAGAUAUAUGGAAGAACACCAGUGGCGAAGGCGAUUCUCUGGACUGUAACUGACGCUGAGGCUCGAAAGCGUGGGGAGCAAACAGG